rnacentral:misc_RNA from 1 species
GAGCUUUGUCUUCAGAAUCAAGAAACUGAGAAUUUGAACCAGGCAUGACUGACCUUGAGGGAGCUUGAACUGUGGAAUCCGAAUUUGAAUGUUGUUUAGCACUUUGAAUCUCUGAUUCAUUACCAUUUUCCUUCUCUGAAUUUGGCUGUAGAAGGUCAGUAUGGUUCUCAUGAAUGUGAGAUUCAAACUCGGACCCCUUCAAGAAAGAUUUGAGACAGUGAGGGGCUGCGCAGAUGAAGAUCCCCUCCAUCAUUUUAAUUGUCUGAAUCUUCUGGAUACGUUCAU